rnacentral:rRNA from 1 species
UGGCCUAGGAAGUCUGCCUGGUAGUGGGGGGACGAAACGUUUCGUAAAGGAAACGCUAAUACCGCAUACGUCCUACGGGAGAAAGCAGGGGACCUUCGGGCCUUGCGCUAUCAGAUGAGCCUAGGUCGGAUUAGCUAGUAGGUGAGGUAAUGGCUCACCUAGGCGACGAUCCGUAACUGGUCUGAGAGGAUGAUCAGUCACACUGGAACUGAGACACGGUCCAGACUCCUACGGGAGGCAGCAGUGGGGAAUAUUGGACAAUGGGCGAAAGCCUGAUCCAGCCAUGCCGCGUGUGUGAAGAAGGUCUUCGGAUUGUAAAGCACUUUAAGUUGGGAGGAAGGGUAGUAACCUAAUACGUUGCUACUUUGACGUUACCGACAGAAUAAGCACCGGCUAACUUCGUG